UUGAUUCAUUUGUAUUUUUGCCUUUCGGCCACUCAGAAAUGCUUAUAAAAACAAAGAGUUUAAGUGUCCUCGGCGGCGCCGAAGCGCGCGCCGAAGCAACAAGUGGUAAGUUCACAUAGGGUUUGGGAGUUGAAUAACUCGAUAAUGAUCCCUCCGCUGGUUCACCAACGGAGA
rnacentral:misc_RNA from 1 species